ensembl:lncRNA
AUACAAAAUGUGCAGUGUUGGGGGGUGCCCUGGACCAGGGUUGAGAAACACUGUUUUAUACAAAGCCACUUACGAAAGGGGAACAACGAAAUUCAUCAAAAGACAGACAUGAAUGAUCCUAUGAUUAUUGUUCAACAUGUAUAAUGUGACAGUCCUUUAAUUCUAAUUUCUGACUGAGUGACCUGCAUUUGAAGCCUUGCGACAUGAAAGCAGCAGUCCUUCAGUCCAUCAGUCUGGUGUUACUACGCUUUAAAUCAUCAGUUUCUCUCAUUGCAGAUCUUCCUCUCAGCCCAAGCUUUUAAAGCAAAGAGAAAGAACAAAUAACCAUCAUGAUGUGACAUCCAUGAUGUUUUCAGUCCUCGGCAAAGCCAUUUACUCUCCAUCAACAAAUACUUCUGCACUUCUUCCUCUUAAGGUGCCAAACUGUGGCUUUCUGCUCCCUUUCCAUUUCCGUCGUGCUUGUUGAAUGUUGUUCUUCGGCGGGGACAGAACCUGGAUCCCCCCCGCUGCUGGUAAUAGACGGCAGGGAUGCGUUCAGUCUUUCAGCCGGACCAGAAUCCCCUGCUUCAGCUGCUCAAUUACACCGCAGGCGUCUCCAUCCGCUCCUCCAAUUACACCACCGGCCCCCUUUAUUUACAAGCACGUGCAUACGUGAAGACAAAUUGCCUGGAGAUCACUCGGGCCUGCUGCAAUUUGGCCGUUUCUUCUGCUGAGAUGAAGCCACUGUUGAAUUAGUCGCUCAGGCUGAAGGAGCGUCACAUACUGCGCUUAGGCUUUCUGCUCCACUAUACAAUGUGAACGCUGAGUAUAUGUUAUGUACGUAUGCAAUACAUGCAACUUCCAAAAGACAAAAAAGAGCAUCCAUUGCUGACACACUGAUGCAGUGCUGCAUUUCUACAAACCUGAUGAAGAAACAAACUCAUAUGUAUACUCAUCUGAUGGCCUGAGGGUGAAUUUAAUUUUUUGGGUGAACUAUUCUUUUAAAAUUAUUGACCUCUUGCAUAUUCUGCAGGGGGUGUAAACUUAUGAGCAGAGCUGUAAAUGAUAGACUAUCAGGAUUUGAAACUAUAAAAUGAUAGAUUAUCCUGACUCACAGUUUUAAGAAAAAACCUGAUGCAUGACUGACAGAGAAUGCAUUCUUUCCCAGAAUGCAAUGUGCUUGACUUGAUCUCUGAAUCAGCAUUAGUAUGUUGGUCUGCUGUGGUGUUUGUUUCAGCUCAUGUGCUUGCCACAGACAGGAAGUGGAGUCAGCAGCUUCCUGUGUCUCAUGUUCUCAGAUCUUCUACCUGUCAGUCGAGGUAUGAAAGCAUGGCGAGCCAUCCAGGUGAAUUAAUGAUCCGUGACCUUCCCUCAAUUACGUCUCAUUACACCGCAGUCCCGAGGGAUUCUGGGACACAAUGGGAAGACAUGAGAAUUAAGAGUCGUCUCUGAAAGCCAAUCCUGCAGUCCGUCACUCAAAGAGCUGCUCUGUUCAGACAAAACCCUUCGUUUCGCUUCAUUUCUGAUUAUUGCUCUGUGUUCAGGGCACAUACUCACCGGAGUAAACAGUAAAACACAAGUGUUACUACAGUUCUCUCUGUAAAAAUCACAAUAAAUCAAUAAAGUUAGACACUUAAGUUAUGCUAAAGUAAAGCAUUAUCAGUAACUAAAAUUAAAACUAUUUAAAAAAAAACUAUUUAAAAAGUGAUAAAUAAAAAUAAAAUAUAUAUGAAAUAAAAAAGAUAAAUUAUAAAUAAUAUAAUAUAUAUAUGUGUGUGUG